rnacentral:rRNA from 1 species
CGAAGGGGGCUAGCGUUGUUCGGAUUUACUGGGCGUAAAGCGCACGUAGGCGGAUUGUUAAGUCAGGGGUGAAAUCCUGGAGCUCAACUCCAGAACUGCCUUUGAUACUGGCAAUCUCGAGUCCGGAAGAGGUAAGUGGAACUCCUAGUGUAGAGGUGGAAUUCGUAGAUAUUAGGAAGAACACCAGUGGCGAAGGCGGCUUACUGGUCCGGAACUGACGCUGAGGUGCGAAAGCGUGGGGAGCAAACAGGAUU